rnacentral:rRNA from 1 species
AACGAACGCUGGCGGCAGGCCUAACACAUGCAAGUCGAACGCCGUAGCAAUACGGAGUGGCAGACGGGUGAGUAACACGUGGGAACGUACCCUUCGGUUCGGAAUAACUCAGGGAAACUUGAGCUAAUACCGGAUACGUCCGAGAGGAGAAAGAUUUAUCGCCGAGGGAUCGGCCCGCGUCUGAUUAGCUUGUUGGUGAGGUAACGGCUCACCAAGGCGACGAUCAGUAGCUGGCUGAGAGGAUGAUCAGCCACAUUGGGACUGAGACACGGCCCAAACUCCUACGGGAGGCAGCAGUGGGGAAUAUUGGACAAUGGGCGCAAGCCUGAUCCAGCCAUGCCGCGUGAGUGAUGAAGGCCCUAGGGUUGUAAAGCUCUUUCGCCCGCGACGAUGAUGACGGUAGCGGGAGAAGAAGCCCCGGCUAACUUCGUGCCAGCCGCCGCAGUAAU